GCUUACGGCCAUACCACCCUGAGCGCGCACCCUGAGCGCGCCCGAUCUCGUCUGAUCUCGGAAGCUAAGCAGGGUCGGGCCUGGUUAGUACUUGGAUGGGAGACCGCCUGGGAAUACCAGGUGCUGUAAGCU
rnacentral:rRNA from 1 species